UAGGGAAUCUUCCGCAAUGGGCGAAAGCCUGACGGAGCAACGCCGCGUGAGUGAUGAAGGUCUUCGGAUCGUAAAACUCUGUUAUUAGGGAAGAACAGCGCAUAGAGUAACUGUUAUGCGUGUGACGGUAUCUAACCAGAAAGCCACGGCUAACUACGUGCCAGCAGCCGCGGUAAUACGUAGGUGGCAAGCGUUGUCCGGAUUUAUUGGGCGUAAAGCGAGCGCAGGCGGUCAAUUAAGUCUGAUGUGAAAGCCCCCGGCUCAACCGGGGAGGGUCAUUGGAAACUGGUUGACUUGAGUGCAGAAGAGGAGAGUGGAAUUCCAUGUGUAGCGGUGAAAUGCGUAGAUAUAUGGAGGAACACCAGUGGCGAAGGCGACUCUCUGGUCUGUAACUGACGCUGAGGCUCGAAAGCGUGGGUAGCAAACAGG
rnacentral:rRNA from 1 species